UACGAGGGGGGCGAGCGUUGUUCGGAAUUAUUGGGCGUAAAGGGCGCGUAGGUGGCGCGACAAGUCAGUGGUGAAAGUUCGACGCUCAACGUCGAAUCGGCCACUGAUACUGUUGGGCUUGAGCACUGUAGAGGCUAAUGGAAUUCCGGGUGUAGCGGUGGAAUGCGUAGAGAUCCGGAAGAACACCGGUGGCGAAGGCGGUUAGCUGGGCAGUUGCUGACACUGAGGCGCGGACAGCGUGGGGAG
rnacentral:rRNA from 1 species